GCCGAGAUGGCGGAAUUGGUAGACGCGCACGGUUCAGGACCGUGUGGACCUCAUACGUCCAUGCAGGUUCAAGUCCUGUUCUCGGCACCA
rnacentral:tRNA from 1 species